GAUGAACGCUGGCGGCGUGCCUAAUACGUGCAAGUCGAGCGAACGGACGAGAAGCUUGCUUCUCUGAUGUUAGCGGCGGACGGGUGAGUAACACGUGGAUAACCUACCUAUAAGACUGGGAUAACUUCGGGAAACCGGAGCUAAUACCGGAUAAUAUUUUGAACCGCAUGGUUCAACAGUGAAAGACGGUCUUGCUGUCACUUAUAGAUGGAUCCGCGCUGCAUUAGCUAGUUGGUAAGGUAACGGCUUACCAAGGCAACGAUGCGUAGCCGACCUGAGAGGGUGAUCGGCCACACUGGAACUGAGACACGGUCCAGACUCCUACGGGAGGCAGCAGUAGGGAAUCUUCCGCAAUGGGCGAAAGCCUGACGGAGCAACGCCGCGUGAGUGAUGAAGGUCUUCGGAUCGUAAAACUCUGUUAUUAGGGAAGAACAUAUGUGUAAGUAACUGUGCACAUCUUGACGGUACCUAAUCAGAAAGCCACGGCUAACUACGUG
rnacentral:rRNA from 1 species